rnacentral:rRNA from 1 species
AUUGAACGCUGCGGCAGGCGCUAACACAUGAAGUCGAGCCGGAUGAAGGGAUGCUUGCUCCUGGAUUCAGGCGCGGACGGUUGAGUAAUGCCUAGGAAUCUGCCUGGUAGUGGGGGACAACAUUUUCGAAAGGAACGCUAAUACCGCAUACGUCCUACGGGACAAAGCAGGGGACCUUCGGGCUUUGCGCUAUCAGAUGAGCCUAGGUCGGAUUAGCUAGUUGGUGAGGUAAUGGCUCACCAAGGCGACGAUCCGUAACUGGUCUGAGAGGAAGAUCAGUCAGACUGGAACUCAGACACGGUCCAGACUCCUACGGGAGGCAGCAGUGGGGAAUAUUGGACAAUGGGCGAAACCCAGAUCCACCCAUGCCGCAUGUGUGAAGUAGGUCUUCGCAUUGUAAAGAUUUUUAAGUGGGAGGAAGGGUUGUAGAUUAAUACUCUGCAAUUUUGACGUUACCGACAGAAUAAGCACCGGCUAACUCGCGGCCAGCAGCCGCGGUAAUACAGAGGGUGCAAGCGUUAAUCGGAAUUACUGGGCGUAAGCGGCGCGUAGGUGGUUCGUUAAGUUGGAUGUGAAAUCGGCGGGCUCAACCUGGGAACUGAAAACUGGCGAGCUAGAGUAUGGUAGAGGGUGGUGGAAUUUCCUGUGUAGCGGUGUAAUGCGUAGAUAUAGGAAGGAACACCAGUGGCGAAGGCGACCACCUGGACUGAUACUGACACUGAGGUGCGAAAGCGUGGGGAGCAAACUUGAUUAGAUACCCUGGUAGUCCACGCCGUAAACGAUGUCUUCUAGCCGUUGGGAGCCUUGAGCUCUUAGUGGCGCAGCUAACGCAUUAAAGUUGACCGCCUGGGGAGUACGGCCGCAAGGUUAAAACUCAAUGAAUUGACGGGGGCCCGAUGCCACAAGCGGUGGAGCAUGUGGUUUAAUUCGAAGCAACGCGAAGAACCUUACCAGGCCUUGACAUCCAAUGAACUUUCCAGAGAUGGAUUGGUGCCUUCGGGAACAUUGAGACAGGUGCUGCAUGGCUGUCGUCAGCUCGUGUCGUGAGAUGUUGGGUUAAGUCCCGUAACAAGCGCAACCUCCUUAGUUACCAGCAGGUAAUGGUGAGCACUCUAAGGAGACUGCCAGUGACAAACCGGAGGAAGGAGGGGAUGACGUCAAGUCAUCAUGGCCCUUACGGCCUGGGCUACACACGUAUACAAUGGUCGGUACAAAGGGUUGCCAAGCCGCGAGGUGGAGCUAAUACCAUAAAACCAUUAUCGUAGUCCGGAUCGCAGUCUGCAACUCGACUGCGUGAUGUCGGAAUCCCUAGUAAUCCCGAAUCAGAAUGUCGCGGUGAAUACGUUCGCGGGCCUUGUACACACCGCCCGUCACACCGCGGGAGUGGGUUGCACCAGUCUAACCUUCAAGUAGCUAGGGGAGGACGGUUACCACGGUGUGAUUCAUAUACUGGGGUGAAGUCGUAACAAGGUAGCCGU